rnacentral:rRNA from 1 species
UGGUGGAUUGGUUUGUCUGGUUAAUUCCGUUAACGAACGAGACCCCCGCCUGCUAAAUAGCUGCUUGUGUGAUUCUCACACUCGUGAGCUUCUUAGAGGGACGUGCGUUCUAUUAGACGCAGGAGGAUGGGGGCAAUAACA